rnacentral:rRNA from 1 species
CUAUGGGUGUAAACUGCUUUUAUACGGGAAUAAGGAAUCGUACGCGUUGCGGUUUCAGCAUGUACUGUAUGAAUAAGCAUCGGCUAACUCCGUGCCAGCAGCCGCGGUAAUACGGAGGAUGCAGGCGUUAUCCGGAUUUAUUAGGUUUAAAGGGUGCGUAGGCGGCAAUAUAAGUCAGGGGUGAAAUCUUGUAGCUCAACUACAAGUUUGCCUUUGAUACUGUUUUGCUAGAGUACGAACGAGGUAGGCGGAAUGUGCAGUGUAGCGGUGAAAUGCUUAGAUAUUGCACAGAACACCGAUUGCGAAGGCAGCUGGCCAGACCGAGAUCGACGCUGAGGCACGAAAGCGUGGGGAUCAAACAGGAUUAGAUACCCUGGUAGUCCACGCCGUAAACGAUGAUCACUGGAUGCCGGCGAUACACCGUCGGUGUCUGAGCGAAAGCAUUAAGUGAUCCACCUGGGGAGUACGAUCGCAAGGUUGAAACUCAAAGGAAUUGACGGGGGCCCGCACAAGCGGAGGAACAUGUGGUUUAAUUCGAUGAUACGCGAGGAACCUUACCUGGGCUAGAACGCCGAGCGCAUAUGGGGGAAACCCCAUAGCCAGCAAUGGCGGUCGGCGAGGUGCUGCAUGGUUGUCGUCAGCUCGUGCCGUGAGGUGUCGGGUUAAGUCCCAUAACGAGCGCAACCCCUACUGUUAGUUGCCAGCGGAUCAUGCCGGGGACUCUAACGGAACUGCCAGCGUAAGCUGUGAGGAAGGUGGGGAUGACGUCAAAUCAGCACGGCCCUUACGUCCAGGGCUACACACGUGUUACAAUGGCCGGUACAGAGGGCAGCCACCCCGCGAGGGGGCGCGAAUCCUCAAAGCCGGUCCCAGUUCGGAUCGGAGUCUGCAACCCGACUCCGUGAAGCUGGAUUCGCUAGUAAUCGCGCAUCAGCCACGGCGCGGUGAAUACGUUCCCGGGCCUUGUACACACCGCCCGU